rnacentral:rRNA from 1 species
GAUGAACGCUGGCGGCGUGCCUAAUACAUGCCAGUCGAGCGAACAGAUGAGGAGCUUGCUCCUCUGACGUUAGCGGCGGACGGGUGAGUAACACGUGGAUAACCUACCUAUAAGACUGGGAUAACUUCGGGAAACCGGAGCUAAUACCGGAUAAUAUAUUGAACCGCAUGGUUCAAUAGUGAAAGACGGUUUUGCUGUCACUUAUAGAUGGAUCCGCGCCGCAUUAGCUAGAUGGUAAGGUAACGGCUUACCAAGGCAACGAUGCGUAGCCGACCUGAGAGGGUGAUCGGCCACACUGGAACUGAGACACGGUCCAGACUCCUACGGGAGGCAGCAGUAGGGAAUCUUCCGCAAUGGGCGAAAGCUUGACGGAGCAACGCCGCGUGAGUGAUGAAGGUCUUCGGAUCGUAAAACUCUGUUAUUAGGGAAGAACAAAUGUGUAAGUAACUAUGCACGUCUUGACGGUACCUAAUCAGAAAGCCACGGCUAACUACGUG